rnacentral:lncRNA from 1 species
UCUGUCAAUCUAAUUUAAAUUAUUUUUCAACGUUUGUCUAUAGGGUGGGUGGUUGCUUCUUGCUCAUCUCUUUUCAUCGCACUCCACGCAUCGAGCCACCAGUGGAUGUAUAAGUCAGCUGACGUGUCAUCUCCAGCCACCAGCAACUUAUCAGGAAGAACUUUAUUCGGGUGUCUUUGCUGUGAGAGUGUCUCGUGCCCUAUUGAACAAGAUGUUUCAACUAAGUUGCGUGCCAAUUAAAGGUGAACCCGAGUGGAGGCGUUGCUGUUCUCCGCUGCUCUCUGCAGUGUAUUGGUGUCCAGUUUUGCGCAUGUAGUGCUGUGUUGUAAUUGAAGCAAGUGAGGUGUAUUCUGUGAUGUUUCACCGGACUUUUGAACAAGUAUUUCUGUGGUGUAAUUAUAGAUGAAGAUGGAUGGAACACAUUUCACAGGCUGAUGCACUUCCCCACUUUAACAAACCUUUUCAGCAAUAUAUCACCAUAGGGUACCAAUACCAAAGGUUUUCCAAGUCAUCUCCCUGCAAGCAACAAACAUCUUUUUGCUGUGGUCUGCUUUUCAAGACUGGCCUCCUCUCCCUGUGAUUUUCUGUAGCAUGUGAUGUGUUUGUUGCUGCUACUAUUGACAACGAUCCCAAUUCUUUUCAGUAUGGAGCUUCUCUUCACUCUCGAAUGCUGAAAAUGAAUCACUGCUGUACAGCAAGAAGAACAACGCUAUCAGUGGAAAUUCAUUAUUGCAGCAUAUGUCUUCUCUUGGCCAUCAGCAAGUCAUUUG